rnacentral:rRNA from 1 species
GAUGAACGCUGGCGGCGUGCUUAACACAUGCAAGUCGAACGGAGUAUUGACGCUGACGAGACUUCGGUCAAAUCUUGUUAAUACUUAGUGGCGGACGGGUGAGUAACGCGUGGGUAACCUGCCGUAUGCAGGGGGACAACAGUUGGAAACGACUGCUAAUACCGCAUAAGCGCACGGUUUUGCAUGAAACAGUGUGAAAAGAAUUUCGGCAUACGAUGGACCCGCGUUUGAUUAGCUAGUUGGUGAGGUAACGGCCCACCAAGGCGACGAUCAAUAGCCGGCCUGAGAGGGCAAUCGGCCACAUUGGGACUGAGACACGGCCCAAACUCC